rnacentral:rRNA from 1 species
CUACGCCUACGGGGCGCAGCAGUGAGGAAUAUUGGUCAAUGGGCGGUAGCCCGAACCAGCCAAGUAGCGUGAAGGAUGAAGGUUCUAUGGAUUGUAAACUUCUUUUAUAAAGGAAUAAAGUGAGGUACGUGUGCCUUUUUGUAUGUACUUUAUGAAUAAGGAUCGGCUAACUCCGUGCCAGCAGCCGCGGUAAUACGUAGGAUCCAAGCGUUAUCCGGAUUUAUUGGGUUUAAAGGGAGCGUAGAUGGGUUGUUAAGUCAGUUGUGAAAGUUUGCGGCUCAACCGUAAAAUUGCAAUUGAUACUG